rnacentral:tRNA from 1 species
GACUCGAUGGCGCAGUGGCAAGCGCGUCCAUCUCUAUGAAGGAAGGCUCCUGUUCGACUCAGGAUCGGGUCA